rnacentral:lncRNA from 1 species
UCAUCCACCUUGAUGAUAUUUUUCUCUACUAGAAGAGCAAUCACCAAGGACUCAUACGAAGGAGGAAGCGAUGUUAGCAAGAGCAACACUUUGAUCUUCUUCUUAACUUUCUCGUCAAUGCUGAGAAAAUCAGUGAGGAUAUUCUGAAAGUGGCUGACGUACUCCUGCACACUUUGUCUUUUGUCCAUCCGUAAUUGAUAGAACUACCUCCAG